UUCUAUUAAUAAAGUUUUCAUUAUUAAACGCUUAACAAUAGACUAUUAAACGCACAUUUAACUUUGCUAUUCUCAGUGACAAAUACAGGAUAGUCAACAUCAUAAACUGAGCGUAGAAGUUCUAAAGUGCUAAAGAUUCUGAAAGAGAUAGCGCUAGAAAAUGUAUCUGGAUUGACAUCUUGACAUACACUGUCCUAUACUGUUCUACGGUCUGGCAGUACGGUUGAAAUAGGAAGAAUGAAUCGUAGCAGUUCUGCACAUGGGAGUUUGAAGCAUUACAACAGUGCCUUGGCUGAGUCGAGCUCAUGUUGAAUGAAUAUUAAGAGACUCGAUUGUUAAUCAAUGUUAAGAUCGACGUAACCAUACUACGCCUUGAAGAAAAACACGAGAUCUUUCAUCUCUCUAUAUAGGAGAGUGGUACGAGUUCCAACUUUAACAGUCGUUGUUUGUAUAUGGCUGUUAAAGUUGGAACUCUUUCCCCUCUAGCUCCUACGAUUUAUGCUCAAAUGCGUGUUUACAUUAACAAAGUUCAUCUAACACACACCUCUUUAGGGAGGCGGCAUUUUGACGAGGGGCGUUCAAUAGAAAGAGACGUCUAUUAAUAAAUUCUGCUUUGACUCGAGUGUCUAUUAGAUACCUAUGAUACCUAUUAGGCUUGUUUAGUGGAGAGUGGACGUUAAGGCUAGUUUCCACUCAGAAAAAUUAUCCGUGGAUUGGAACGGACAAGAAAAUUUUUCUUUGUCUUGUGAGCUCUGGGUUGGUACUAAUGACUUUAACACAAAGAAAAAUGUUCUUGUCCGUUCCAAUUCACG